UCGGGUGUGUAAGCGUAGCGAUACGUUGAGCUAACCGAUACUAAUGAACCGUGAGGCUUAACCUUACAACGCCGAAGC
rnacentral:rRNA from 1 species